UACGGAGGGUGCGAGCGUUGUCCGGAAUCAUUGGGCGUAAAGGGCGCGUAGGUGGCCCGGUGAGUCUUUGGUGAAAGCGCGGGGCUCAACCCUGCGUCGGCCAGGGAUACUGCCGCGGCUCGAGCACUGUAGAGGCAGGCGGAAUUCCGGGUGUAGCGGUGGAAUGCGUAGAGAUGUGGAGGAACACCGAUGGCGAAGGCAGCCCCCUGGGUCAAAACUGACGCUCAUGCACGAAAGCGUGGGGAGCAAACAGG
rnacentral:rRNA from 1 species